GAUGAACGCUGGCGGCGUGCCUAAUACAUGCAAGUCGAGCGAACAGACGAGGAGCUUGCUCCUUUGACGUUAGCGGCGGACGGGUGAGUAACACGUGGAUAACCUACCUAUAAGACUGGGAUAACUUCGGGAAACCGGAGCUAAUACCGGAUAACAUGUUGAACCGCAUGGUUCAACAGUGAAAGACGGUCUUGCUGUCACUUAUAGAUGGAUCCGCGCCGCAUUAGCUAGUUGGUAAGGUAACGGCUUACCAAGGCAACGAUGCGUAGCCGACCUGAGAGGGUGAUCGGCCACUCUGGAACUGAGACACGGUCCAGACUCCUACGGGAGGCAGCAGUAGGGAAUCUUCCGCAAUGGGCGAAAGCCUGACGGAGCAACGCCGCGUGAGUGAAGAAGGUCUUCGGAUCGUAAAACUCUGUUAUUAGGGAAGAACAAAUGUGUAAGUAACUAUGCACGUCUUGACGGUACCUAAUCAGAAAGCCACGGCUAACUACGUG
rnacentral:rRNA from 1 species